UCCGGUUUAACACCGGCAGUCUUUCCAGAGUCCCACUUUCAUGGUUCUACCACUUGCAUGUCAAGGCCAGGUAAGGUUCUUCGCGUUGCAUCGAAUUAAGCCACAUACUCCACCGCUUGUGCAGGCCCCCGUCAAUUUCUUUGAGUUUUAAUCUUGCGACCGUACUUCCCAGGCGGCACGUUUAUCGCGUUAGCUUCGCCACAAAAGGGGUCGAUUCCUUUUACAGCAAACGUGCACCGUUUACAGCCAGGACUAC
rnacentral:misc_RNA from 1 species